UACGAAGGGGGCUAGCGUUGCUCGGAAUUACUGGGCGUAAAGCGCACGUAGGCGGCUUUUUAAGUCGGGGGUGAAAUCCUGGAGCUCAACUCCAGAACUGCCUUCGAUACUGUAGAGCUUGAGUUCGGGAGAGGUGAGUGGAACUGCGAGUGUAGAGGUGAAAUUCGUAGAUAUUCGCAAGAACACCAGUGGCGAAGGCGGCUCACUGGCCCGAUACUGACGCUGAGGUGCGAAAGCGUGGGGAGCAAACAGG
rnacentral:rRNA from 1 species